GAUGAACGCUGGCGGCGUGCUUAACACAUGCAAGUCGAACGGAAAGGCUCCUGCUUGCAGGGGUACUCGAGUGGCGAACGGGUGAGUAACACGUGGGUGAUCUGCCCUGCACUUCGGGAUAAGCCCGGGAAACUGGGUCUAAUACCGGAUAGGACGAUGGUUUGGAUGCCAUUGUGGAAAGUUUUUCGGUGUGGGAUGAGCUCGCGGCCUAUCAGCUUGUUGGUGGGGUAAUGGCCUACCAAGGCGUCGACGGGUAGCCGGCCUGAGAGGGUGUACGGCCACAUUGGGACUGAGAUACGGCCCAGACUCCUACGGGAGGCAGCAGUGGGGAAUAUUGCACAAUGGGCGCAAGCCUGAUGCAGCGACGCCGCGUGGGGGAUGACGGCCUUCGGGUUGUAAACUCCUUUCGCUAGGGACGAAGCGCAAGUGACGGUACCUGGAGAAGAAGCACCGGCUAACUACGUG
rnacentral:rRNA from 1 species